rnacentral:SRP_RNA from 2 species
GCCGGGCGUGGUGGCACACGCCUGUAAUCCCAGCUACUCAGGAGGCUGAGGCAGGAGAAUUGCUUGAACCCAGGAGGCGGAGGUUGCAGUGAGCCAAGAUCGUGCCACUGCACUCCAGCCUGGGCGACAGAGCAAGAUUCUGUCUCAA